GGAAAAAAGCCAGGGAACAUCUGCAUAUCUCUGCCCGAUUUUUUUUAGUUGCAAUUUAUUCUAGUUUUGGUUUCUAGUCAAAAUAUAUAGUCGAUCAUUGGUUGUGACCAAAUUGUACAUAUUCUCCAGUAUUUUUUUUCUUCUAUCAUGCUUUAAAAUAAAUUCCAUGUAAAACUAGGGAAGAGAGAGAUACGAAAAUUACUCGAUUUUAUUCUUGAACAAUUUCCACUCAGAGCGGUUUACGAGUUGACGACCCACCGCCCUCACAAUCGACCAGCAAUUCUCGAAUCAUUAUAAGGACGGCCCAAGUGGAUUCUAACAACAGGCUCUGUACUACGAACUCGCAGGACGUGUCAGGGACAGCAAUGAACUGUCAGUAAAAAAUCAAUACAAUACCCAGUACGAUCAACGGAACAAGGCCUACAUCAGCUGUUAUAGCAGUAUCAUCCUUGUCCAACUUUGUUGAGGAAGGUGAAGCAAUAAUGAACUUCUGUAGUGCUUCUAAUUGAAUUUUAUCUUCUUUCGCGUGUUGCAAUUUUCUUUUCCUACAGUUACCUUGAAAAGUGACCAUUUCUGCACUGAUUGCAGGCCGCAAAGAAUCACUUUUCCGCUGUAGUGCGCAAAGUGUUACUUUGCGUACUCCAGAUUUGCAACAUGGCAGCACAAAAUAGUUGGUGGGUGGUAUGGAGGAUAAGUGCACGAGAACAAAAAUUAAGUUGGUAACAAUGACUGUGGUUAGAUUUAGAUAAGAAUCAUGCCAAUGGCUACCCUACAUAUUUAUGAUAGAAUCCCAAUCUAGAAAUUGGGAGAUUGAAGAUUUGUAUAUUCCAAAAAAAGAAUAAUGUUCAUCUAAAUCAUAAUUAAAUAAUCAUCAUUUAUGAAUUCUCAUCAUUUAAUAAUAAAUAAUAG